AACCGGAUUAGAUACCCUGGUAGUCCAUGCCGUAAACGAUGAGUGCUAGGUGUUGGAGGGUUUCCGCCCUUCAGUGCCGCAGCUAACGCAUUAAGCACUCCGCCUGGGGAGUACGACCGCAAGGUUGAAACUCAAAGGAAUUGACGGGGGCCCGCACAAGCGGUGGAGCAUGUGGUUUAAUUCGAAGCUACGCGAAGAACCUUACCAGGUCUUGACAUCUUGCGCUAACCUAAGAGAUUAGGCGUUCCCUUCGGGGACGCAAUGACAGGUGGUGCAUGGUCGUCGUCAGCUCGUGUCGUGAGAUGUUGGGUUAAGUCCCGCAACGAGCGCAACCCUUGUUACUAGUUGCCAGCAUUCAGUUGGGCACUCUAGUGAGACUGCCGGUGACAAACCGGAGGAAGGUGGGGACGACGUCAGAUCAUCAUGCCCCUUAUGACCUGGGCUACACACGUGCUACAAUGGCCGGUACAACGAGCAGCUAACCCGCGAGGGUGUGCAAAUCUCUUAAAGCCGGUCUCAGUUCGGACUGCAGUCUGCAACUCGACUGCACGAAGCCGGAAUCGCUAGUAAUCGCGGAUCAGCAUGCCGCGGUGAAUACGUUCCCGGGCCUUGUACACACCGCCCGUCACACCAUGGAAGUUUGCAAUGCCCAAAGUCAGUGGNCUAACCAUUUUGGAGGGAGCUGCCUAAGGCAGGGCAGAUGACUGGGGUGAAGUCGUAACAAGGUAAC
rnacentral:rRNA from 1 species